rnacentral:rRNA from 1 species
AGGACGAACGCUGGCGGCGUGCUUCAUACAUGCAAGUCGAACGAGAAGCUGACUUCGGUCAGUGGAAAGUGGCGGACGGGUGAGUAAUGUGUAGAGAAUCUGCCCUAGAGAGAGGGACAACAGUUGGAAACGACUGCUAAUACCUCAUAUGCGCGUAGCUGAGAUGCUAUUCGUGAAAACUCCGGUGCUCUGGGAUGAGUCUGCAUCUGAUUAGCUAGUUGGCGGUGUAAUGGACCACCAAGGCGACGAUCAGUAGCUGGUUUGAGAGGAUGAUCAGCCACAAUGGGACUGAGACACGGCCCAUACUCCUACGGGAGGCAGCAGUAGGGAAUUUUGCGCAAUGGGGGAAACCCUGACGCAAGCAACGCCGCGUGAUUGAAUAAGCCCUUCGGGGUGUAAAGAUCUGUCAGUAGGGACGAAACUUGACGGUACCUACAGAGGAAGCAUCGGCUAACUCCGUGCCAGCAGCGGC